rnacentral:rRNA from 1 species
AUUGAACGCUGGCGGCAGGCCUAACACAUGCAAGUCGAACGAGUGGCGGACGGGUGAGUAAUGUCGGGGAAACUGCCUGAUGGAGGGAGAUGACUACUGGAAACGGUAGCUAAUACCGCAUACCCUCAGAUGUGCCCAGCUGGGAUUAGCUUGUUGGUGGGGUAACGGCUCACCAAGGCGACGAUCCCUAGCGGGUCUGAGAGGAUGACCGGCCACACGGGAACUGAGACACGGUCCAGACUCCUACGGGAGGCAGCAGUGGGGAAUAUUGCACAAUGGGCGAAAGCCUGAUGCAGCCAUGCCGCGUGUAUGAAGAAGGCCUGCGGGUUGUAAAGUACUUUCAGCGGGGAGGCGUUACCCGCAGAAGAAGCACCGGCUAACUCCGUGCCAGCCGCCGCGGUAAUAC